UACGGGGGGGGGCAAGCGUUGUUCGGAAUUACUGGGCGUAAAGGGCUCGUAGGCGGCCAACUAAGUCAGACGUGAAAUCCCUCGGCUUAACCGGGGAACUGCGUCUGAUACUGGAUGGCUUGAAUCCGGGAGAGGGAUGCGGAAUUCCAGGUGUAGCGGUGAAAUGCGUAGAUAUCUGGAGGAAUACCGGUGGCGAAGGCGGCAUCCUGGACCGGCAUUGACGCUGAGGAGCGAAAGCCAGGGGAGCAAAGCGGG
rnacentral:rRNA from 1 species